rnacentral:rRNA from 1 species
AUACGGAGGGUGCAAGCGUUAAUCGGAAUUACUGGGCGUAAAGCGCGCGUAGGCGGAUAUUUAAGUCUCAUGUGAAAGCCCUGGGCUCAACCUGGGAACUGCAUGGGAUACUGGGUAUCUAGAAUACAGUAGAGGGUAGUGGAAUUUCAGGUGUAGCGGUGAAAUGCGUAGAGAUCUGAAGGAACAUCAGUGGCGAAGGCGACUACCUGGACUGAUAUUGACGCUGAGGUGCGAAAGCGUGGGGAGCAAACAGGAUUAGAAACCCUAGUAGUCC